rnacentral:lncRNA from 1 species
GAAGCCACUUGUGUAGCUAAAAGGGUCUGCAGAGGCUACAAGGAGAAAGGGUUUAUUCUGGCCUCCUGUUCAAGGUGCCUGCAUGGUGGCUGAAUCAAGGCAGCAGAACUUGAAGCAGAUGAUCACAUGGGAUCCAUGGUGAGGAAGAAGACAGCACUGACUACAUGCUAUGGCUUGGCUCCAUGGCUCUGUGUAUGGACAGCCCAACUUCAAAUGUGUGCGUGGCUUUUCCCAUGUCAGUCAAUACAAGCAAGAAUACUCCCCC